rnacentral:rRNA from 1 species
ACUCCUACGGGAGGCAGCAGUGGGGAAUAUUGCACAAUGGGGAAACCCUGAUGCAGCCAUGCCGCGUGUGUGAAGAAGGCCUUCGGUUGUAAAGCACUUCAGUAGGGAGGAAGGUAGUGUAGUUAACACCUGCAUUAUUUGACGUUACCUACAGAAGAAGCACCGGCUAACUCCGUGCCAGCAGCCGCGGUAAUACGGAGGGGUGCGAGCGUUAAUCGGAAUUACUGGGCGUAAAGCGCAUGCAGGCGGCCUGUUAAGUCAGAUGUGAAAGCCCGGGGGCUUAACCUCGGAAUUGCAUUUGAAACUGGCAGGCUAGAGUCUUGUAGAGGGGGUAGAAUUUCAGGUGUAGCGGUGAAAUGCGUAGAGAUCUGAAGGAAUACCAGUGGCGAAGGCGGCCCCCUGGACAAGAACUGACGCUCAGAUGCGAAAGCGUGGGGA